rnacentral:rRNA from 1 species
GCAGUAGCCACGGGAACACGAAGGGGGCUAGCGUUGUUCGGAAUUACUGGGCGUAAAGCGCACGUAGGCGGAUAUUUAAGUCAGGGGUGAAAUCCCGCAGCUCAACUGCGGAACUGCCUUUGAUACUGGGUAUCUUGAGUAUGGAAGAGGUUAGUGGAAUUGCGAGUGUAGAGGUGAAAUUCGUAGAUAUUCGCAGGAACACCAGUGGCGAAGGCGGCUAACUGGUCCAUAACUGACGCUGAGGUGCGAAAGCGUGGGGAGCAAACAGGAUUAGAUACCCCUGUAGUCCCUGUCUCUUAUAA